rnacentral:rRNA from 1 species
GCAUAUCAAUAAGCGGAGGAAAAGAAACUAACAAGGAUUCCCCUAGUAACGGCGAGUGAAGCGGGAAGAGCUCAAAUUUGUAAUCUGGCACCUUCGGUGUCCGAGUUGUAAUCUCGAGAAGUGUUUUCCGCGCCGGACCGCAUACAAGUCUGUUGGAAUACAGCGUCAUAGUGGUGAGAACCCCGUAACUGAUGCGGAUGCCCGGUGCUUUGUGAUACACUUUCGAAGAGUCGAGUUGUUUGGGAAUGCAGCUCAAAUUGGGUGGUAAAUUCCAUCUAAAGCUAAAUAUUGGCGAGAGACCGAUAGCGAACAAGUACCGUGAGGGAAAGAUGAAAAGCACUUUGGAAAGAGAGUUAACAGUACGUGAAAUUGUUGGAAGGGAAACGCUUGAAGUCAGACUUGCUAUUUGGAAUUCAGCCGCAAGGUGUACUUUUCAAUUCGCAGGCCAGCAUCAGUUUUCGGGGGUGGAAAAGGGUAGAGAGAAGGUAGCAAUUUCGGUUGUGUUAUAGCUCUUUGCUGGAUUCAUCCUUGGGGACUGAGGAACGCAGCACGCUUUUUGCAAGGCUUUCGAGCUUCGUGC